CCCCUCUCAGGGUGGCACCUGGAGAGUUUCCAGUCCUCUACCAGCCUCGACUACGGGAGGGAGAGUCAAGCAGAGCCUUGUCCAUUCCAUUCCUAGCUUGGGCAGUGGCUAGCGAACGGAAGGCCGUCUGCUCCAAGU